rnacentral:rRNA from 1 species
GGAUCAAUUUGCUGGUCGUGCCUCUGGUACGUACUGAUUUUAUUGGUUUCUCCCUUCUGACGAAUCAUGAUGUCAUUAAUUUGGUGUCGUGGAGAAUCAGGACUGUUACUUUGAAAAAAUUAGAGUGUUUAAAGCAAGCUAACGCUUGAAUACAUUAGCAUGGAAUAAUGAAAUAGGACGUUCGAUCCUAUUUUGUUGGUUUCUAGGAUUGACGUA